rnacentral:lncRNA from 1 species
GUAGCGAAGGGCUGGAGGCAAACACCGAGCUCCCCCUGAGUCGCCUGGGAGCAGGGAGGGUUCUGCUACCCUGAGGGGCCCUCCCCGCGGGGCAGAGGGGACCAGCCCAACAUGGCUUCCAACACACACAGAGACCAGAAGGACCCAAUAAGAGACCGAAGACACGACUGAUAAUACAGAAAGGAGGGUGAUGCUGUGUGCAAGGCAGAUACAAGAUGGUUUUUCCAUAAGAGGAAGUGAUCAUGGCAACCAUGACCUUCUCUCUUCCAAGAGGCUGUUGGGAAGGUGGGAUGACCUAGGAUUGACCUUGGACUUGACAUCACAGAAGCCAUUUCAACCUUCACAGGUGGGAGGAAGUCACAGCAUCUACUUCUGAAUCUGUGCUUGCCUUGAGGAACAACGGCAUGACACAAGAAUGUGGACGCUUUCAACCAGAGGAUUCUGUACGACAGUGUCGGCACACAAGGAGUGUUCCA